GUUACCUUUUUUGCCUUGGCUCUUGUUGGUUAAUUAUAUUUGUCUUUAUAUCUCUCUUGUUAUUUUUCUGUCUUUAUAGUUUAUAUUUGAAUCUGGAUUAGUGUUGGUUUGUUUGUUGUUUGAGUGUCUUGCUAUUUAUGGUUGUUUAAUUACUUUGAGUCUCCCGUCUUCUUGAGUCUCCCAGUAUCUCCCGUCUUCUUGAGUCUCCCAGUAUCUCCCGUCUUCCUGAUUUUCCCUGUGCAUUUCUUUGUUCUGUUUGUUCUGUCAUUAAUUUUAAUCAGUCUUUAUUUUAUUUAGUAUUUUUGAUAAACCCACCCUGCCUGUGUUCAUUCUGGUUCUUUUUGUUGGACUUAUUUCAUUAAAAGAAAUUAUGCUGUUGCACAACUCUAGUGUGUCUCUGCAGUUGGGUUCCAACGCCUCCCAGUGGCAAACUGCUAGAGUGUCUGCCACUCGCUCUAGGGACCCGCACUGACACGUGGUGUAAUUGGAGUAUAUAAUAAAUGUUAUGAUUUACAAUGUACAGGACGAAGACCUUCCGUGUGCUACAGUGCUCAGGUUUGGUCAGCUCUUUUUAACAGCUCAGACCAAAUGUCAGGGAAUGUGAGGGAUAUCCAGGGUGGGCUGUACAGAGACACAUGGAAGUGGCCAGAUGGGAUAAAUGCUUUUGAACAUACCAUGGAUUCCUGGACAACCUGAUUAUUUUUGUAUAAGUGGUUUACAAUGGACUGUUCCGUGAUACAUUCUGCACCAGCCUGAACUAUUUUUUGGUCACACCAGGAAAGUGUUUUUACUGGGAAACCUGUAGAAUAGAGUCAGGUAAGGAUGCAGGUGUCUGAUGGGAGUGUGUUUGAUCCUGAGGUGCAGUCAUCCAUCAUGGAGCAGAGAAAAUUCCAGUGACCUGGAAGGUGCAGCCAAAUGGAAACGUCUCCCACAAGAAAAAGAAAUCAUGUGUAAUGUCUAAAUGCUAGAAAUAGAGCAGGAGGAUGCAUAUUGAGUAAAAAAUCUCCUGUUGCAAGUGGCCACUGGAGGCAGUAUUGACUCUUUGAGUGUGUCAUGUAGAGCAGUGGUCCCCCAACCUUUUUUUGUGCCACGGCCCGGAUUAACAUCAGACAAUAUUUUCACGGACUGGUUUAAUGUUGGACAAUUUUUUCACAGACCGGCCUUUAAGGUGUGGCGGAUAAAUGCAACAAAAUAAAAUAUUUUCUGAAUA